GAACAUUAGAUCUUCUAGCCUGACUUCCUGUAUAACACAGGCCAUAGAAUUUCACCCAGCUCCCUCUGUAUUAAGUCCAGUAACUUGUUGGACACUGCCUUAUUGCCCCCUGUACCACAACAUCUGUCCUCUCCCUCAAGCAUCCCAAGGAAGAUGUGUGCAAUGAUGAUUCCAAACUGGGAAGCUACUGUAUGUCAGCAGCAACACUGCACAAAGUGACAGUUUCACUGGAUUCCAGCCUGCCCUGGGCCUAUCAGACGAAGCUGGAAUCACACCAAGGUGAGCAUCUUGGGAAAACGAAUGCCACAACCUGGUUAGAGUGGUACAGACCUGUGCUGUUUUCUGAGGCUCUCGUGGCUCAAGAGCCUGAGUGGCCACUCCAUCUCCUAUCCAGCCCUUUGGCUAGUUGAUGAUCACUUCAUAGCUUGGAAGGCUGAGAAAAAACAAAACCAUUUGCUCUUGUUCUCCACUAAUAUGGUUGUCUCUGUAAAGCUACCACUUGGCUUUUCAGUGUCAGGGGGCCACUGAGACCUUUCUAUAACCUGGGGUUAGAAGGCCCCUUUAUUAUUGUGACUUUUCACAGCAGCUAGCCCACGUGGUGCCACCAUCAUAGACUCUCACCAUGGUUCUCAGGGAGAUGGACUCUUGUGCUGUUUUUCCUUAGUUUCUUCUCUCAGAUUUCCAGAGCCACACCCCAGCAGUCAUGGUAGCUACUUGAUUCUCUUCAGCCCUCUGCUUUCAUCCUCCCCGCUGGCGACAGGCAUGGCUCCUGAUCAGCCAUCAGAUUGACAGCAGGUCAGACCAUGAAAUGCACGGAGUGUCCACAGGGACGGAAUUUGCUGAACACGGCGCUUUGUAAAUGAGGGGACACAGUGUCGCAGCAGCUCAUGAAUAUGAAACGCCCAUGAUGCUACCUCGGUGGACUUGGGAACACAGAUGAAUCCUGUCAUGUGCUAAAUGAGACCAAUUUCUUUCACUUAACUUCAUCUUCAAUCAGACCUUCUUCCAUUUGCCUGUUUAAAAUUCCCCAAACGUGAUGCAGAAGGUAAAAGCAUUCAGUAAAAUAAAGUUUUGCAGCAGCAGAGAAAUUAUAAUUAUCCCUGGUUUAAGUUGCAUGCUCAUAAAAUGUAAAAUUAA